ACCAUCCUCCUUAUGGUGCCGAUAUUCCAUGUUGCGAACCCUGGUGUUGAUUACGAAGAAUGUUGAUAUUUCUGAAUAUCAUCAGGUUGUGGCUUUCUUCUCGGAAAUCAGAAGGUUCCCGACCCAGAAAAUCGUUUAUUUGUUCCAAAGAAGAGAUAAAUCAAUUUCUUAAGAAAAUGAAUGAUAAGGAUUUCUUAUUUUUGAAGUUUCAGGUUGUUUUGAUAGUCGGAGUGUUUGGUGCUUGUCGACACGAGGAGAUCACAAAUUUUACGACACGAGACGUUAGAGCCGAAAAAGAAUUUAGAUACAGAUUCACCGAUUAACAAAAUAGACGAACAACUAUUUGAAGAUGUCACUACAACUAAAAUUGUUGACAUCAUUUAUUACUUAGCUGGAUUUGUCGCAAAAAAUUGUACAAUACUUCAAAAUGUAAUAUUUGCCGUGAACAGUUAAAUAUAUAACAAAGAGGAUCCAUGUUCUAGUACAUCUGAAUUUACUAGUACAAAAUCCAGGGGGUGGUUAAACCAUCCAGAUUUGUUAAUGUUUAAUAUGUUCCGAUGGUGGAAGGGAUACUUAUGAAAUAUAUCUAUUUUGUGGAUGUAUUCGAUGCAACAAUUGAAGAGCUAUUCGUAACAAAAAUUUUUAUGACUAUUUACUUUCCUUUUUCUUGUGAAGAGCAUAGAAUGGAAAUAUUUUCAAAGGCAAUAUAUUUUUACACAAUUAUGCAAAUUAAACAAUUUUAUAAACAGGAACAAGAGAAAACAACCAAGGCAUGUGCAGAAAAAAGAAAAGAGUCUCGAUUACAGACUACGUAAUAAUGUUGUCUUGUGAAACGAACAGAAGUGAGUGAAACUAAUAUAAUAUGUGAAGACGAAAAGAACUAUCUUUAACAACGAG